rnacentral:misc_RNA from 1 species
GAUGAAGAACGUAGCGAAAUGCGAUAAGUAAUGUGAAUUGCAGAAUUCAGUGAAUCAUCGAAUCUUUGAACGCACAUUGCGCCCCCUGGUAUUCCGGGGGGCAUGCCUGUUCGAGCGUCAUUACAACCCUCAAGCUCUGCUUGGUAUUGGGCCCCGCCAGUUCUGGCGGGCCCUAAAGUCAGUGGCGGUGCCUUCCGGCUCCGAGCGUAGUAAUUCUUCUCGCUCUGGAGACCCGGUUGUGUGCUUGCCAUCAACCCCCAAUUUUUUAAGGUUGACCUCGGAUCAGGUAGGGAUACCCGCUGAACUUAAGCAUAUCAAUAAGCGGAGGA